rnacentral:rRNA from 1 species
AUUGAACGCUGGCGGCAUGCUUUACACAUGCAAGUCGAACGGUAACAGGCCGCAAGGUGCUGACGAGUGGCGAACGGGUGAGUAAUGCAUCGGAACGUGCCCAGUCGUGGGGGAUAACGCAGCGAAAGCUGCGCUAAUACCGCAUACGAUCUAUGGAUGAAAGCGGGGGACCGUAAGGCCUCGCGCGAUUGGAGCGGCCGAUGUCAGAUUAGGUAGUUGGUGGGGUAAAGGCUCACCAAGCCGACGACCUGUAGCUGGUCUGAGAGGACGACCAGCCACACUGGGACUGAGACACGGCCCAGACUCCUACGGGAGGCAGCAGUGGGGAAUUUUGGACAAUGGGCGCAAGCCUGAUCCAGCAAUGCCGCGUGCAGGAAGAAGGCCUUCGGGUUGUAAACUGCUUUUGUACGGAACGAAAAGGCUCUGGUUAAUACCUGGGGCUCAUGACGGUACCGUAAGAAUAAGCACCGGCUAACUACGUGCCAGCAGCCGCCGUAACAC